GAUGAACGCUGGCGGCGUGCCCAAUACAUGCAAGUCGAGCGGUAAGGCCACUUCGGUGGUACACGAGCGGCGGACGGCUGAGUAACACGUAGGAACGUACCCCAAACUGAGGGAUAAGCACCGGAAACGGGGUCUAAUACCGCAUGUGCUCUUCGGAGUAAAGCUACGGCGGUUUGGGAACGGCCUGCGCAUGAUUAGCUUGUUGGUGAGGUAAUGGCUCACCAAGGCGACGAUCAUUAGCUGGUCUGAGAGGAUGAUCAGCCAGACUGGGACUGAGAACGGCCCAGACUCCUACGGGAGGCAGCAGUAGGGAAUUUUCCACAAUGGGGGCAACCCUGAUGGAGCAACGCCGCGUGCAGGAUGAAUGCCUUCGGGUUGUAAACUGCUUUUAUAUGUGACGAUUAUGACGGUAGCAUAUGAAUAAGGAUCGGCUAACUCCGUGCCAGCAGCCGCGGUAA
rnacentral:rRNA from 1 species